GAUGAACGCUGGCGGCGUGCCUAACACAUGCAAGUCGAGCGAGACUUAAGUGGAUGAUUCUUCGGAUGAUGAAGCUUAAUGACAGCGGCGGACGGGUGAGUAACGCGUGGGUAACCUGCCCUAUGGAGGGGGAUAACGCAAAGAAAUUUGCGCUAAUACCGCAUAAGCACACAGGAUCACAUGAUCUAGGGUGAAAAACUCCGGUGCCAUAGGAUGGACCCGCGUAAGAUUAGCUAGUUGGUGAGGUAAUGGCUCACCAAGGCAACGAUCUUUAGCCGACCUGAGAGGGUGAUCGGCCACAUUGGGACUGAGACACGGCCCAAACUCCUACGGGAGGCAGCAGUGGGGGAUAUUGCACAAUGGGCGAAAGCCUGAUGCAGCAACGCCGCGUGAAGGAAGACGGUUUUCGGAUUGUAAACUUCUAUCAGCAGGGAAGAAAAAGACUGUACCUGACUAAGAAGCCCCGGCUAACUACGUGCCAGCAGCCGCGG
rnacentral:rRNA from 1 species